rnacentral:rRNA from 1 species
UACGAAGGGGGCUAGCGUUGCUCGGAAUCACUGGGCGUAAAGCGCACGUAGGCGGAUCUUUUAAGUCAGAGGUGAAAUCCCAAGGCUCAACCUUGGAACUGCCUUUGAUACUGGGGAUCUCGAGUCCGGAAGAGGUGAGUGGAACUGCGAGUGUAGAGGUGAAAUUCGUAGAUAUUCGCAAGAACACCAGUGGCGAAGGCGGCUCACUGGCCCGGUACUGACGCUGAGGUGCGAAAGCGUGGGGAGCAAACAGG